rnacentral:misc_RNA from 1 species
AAGUCGUAACAAGGUUUCCGUAGGUGAACCUGCGGAAGGAUCAUUAACGAGUGAGGGUCCUCUGGGCCCGACCUCCCACCCUUUGUCGUUCAAAACCACGUUGCCUUGGCGGGCCGGCGACCCUCGUGGCCGCCGACCACCCGCCAGAGGAUCAAUCAAAACCCUUUUGUGAACGUUCGUCCGAGUAUGAUUAUCAAAUUAUCAAAACUUUCAACAACGGAUCUCUUGGUUCUG